CUGAGUGAGGGUGCAAGCCCGACCUCCAACCCCAUGUAAAUCAUACCAUGUUGCCUCGGGGGCGACCCGGCCCUUCUGGGCGUCGGGGCCCCCGGUGGACCCAUAACACUGCAUCUGUGCGUCUGAGUGAUUAAUCAAUCAAUUA
rnacentral:misc_RNA from 1 species